GACGAACGCUGGCGGCGUGCUUAACACAUGCAAGUCGAACGGAAAGGCCCUGCUUUUGUGGGGUGCUCGAGUGGCGAACGGGUGAGUAACACGUGAGUAACCUGCCCUUGACUUUGGGAUAACUUCAGGAAACUGGGGCUAAUACCGGAUAGGAGCUCCUGCUGCAUGGUGGGGGUUGGAAAGUUUCGGCGGUUGGGGAUGGACUCGCGGCUUAUCAGCUUGUUGGUGGGGUAGUGGCUUACCAAGGCUUUGACGGGUAGCCGGCCUGAGAGGGUGACCGGCAACAUUGGGACUGAGAUACGGCCCAGACUCCUACGGGAGGCAGCAGUGGGGAAUAUUGCACAAUGGGCGGAAGCCUGAUGCAGCAACGCCGCGUGCGGGAUGACGGCCUUCGGGUUGUAAACCGCUUUCGCCUGUGACGAAGCGUGAGUGACGGUAAUGGGUAAAGAGGCACCGGCUAACUAGGUG
rnacentral:rRNA from 1 species